AGCUCUUGUGUAUGUUUUCGUCACUGGUGGACAAAGGCAGGUUAUAUAGGAGCAAAAAUAAAUCUUCCUUUGCAACUCCAAACGCAUUGGUCAGCGUGAGUUUUGAUACACACAAGAAGGAAUAUA